GGCUGCCCGGCGCCUUCUACAAAGGAGCCUCCGCGGCAGCGUCCCGGCACCCUGGCCGCGCACUCCGCGCCGGCCCACGCCGGGCGCACACGCGGUCCCCCGAAGGCCGGCGCCUCCCGGGUCUGCCAAGCCGUAGUUUUGCGGCUUGUUUUCAACUUGUAUCAUAGUAACAGGAGCCUUUCGAUUUUAUUAAAGAGGAAAAUGGUAAAGGCUUGACAUUGGAUUCCAUUCCCGGUUGAGGGACGGACGCCGCCCGGGAGGGGCUCCUCCCACUUCUCGUCGGAGGAAGCAGAAAUCAAUCUAAUCGCAGCUCUUCUUCCCCUCAGUGACUUGUGACGCCAGGCAGUGAGAAGCGAGUCGUCAGAGAAAAGUUAUCCCGGGGAAGCCGGCUGCGCCGACUGCGGCUGCCCGGUGGGGAGGCGCCUGGCGGUGAAGUCAUCGCCACCUCCGCCUCUGUCCCUGAUCGCCGCGCAGGGCUUUCCCGGGCCCUGCGCCCGAGACUUGCGCCUCUCCGCCCUGGUCCUCAGUGCUGGGCUCCGGGAUCAGCUCCCGAACCCCGGGCGAGAGCCGCCGGCAGAGAGAAACUCACCGCCACCAGCCGGCCAACCAACAGAACUCCAGAACGGGCCGCCCGGGCCGGCUUCGCUUUCAAAGAAAAGAAAAGAAAAGAAACGACCCAACUAAGGCCGCAGCACACUUCCGGAAGGGGAAAGCGAGAGGAGACAGCCCCGUGCUCAGGAAGCCGACAUUAACCCCGAAUCGACGACACAGGCAAAAGAAUUGCCUUCUGACUUCAGCCUCGUUUGGUGGGCCCUGAAGCUGCAACUUGUGAGGGAGUUUUGAAACAAAAGUCUAUCAGCACUCAUCCAGUGCUGGGUGCCUCUCUCCUCGGAAUCAUCCCGGAAGAACGAAGGGUGUGAAACCUGAGUAGAUCCAAGCUGGAUUCCACCUGUCAGGCCUCCUUAAUCCCUGUUGUUUUUGUAGCAAAAUUCAGUGUGUCAACUUCAACUCAUCCUUGUCUCCUUUUUCUAAGAGUUGGUUUUAAAAUUUGAAAUACUAGCUUGUCCUUGGGCCUUUUCCCUCUUAACUUCCUUGUGUUCACACAGCCAAAUUUGCUGUUAUUUCCCAAUAUCUCGUAUCUAGUUUACGUCCACUGAAGGAAGGGGAACUGACUCACAUGUAUUUCCUGUUGGCCAUGUAUCAGGCAUCUUGAGUCUUAGGAUAAUCCUAGAAAUGCUGCGUUCUGUACUUUCUAGCUUGGAGAAGCUAAAUUGGACACCUGUGUCCUCUAGGUCAGGGUACUUUCUGACACCUUUCCUUCCUAACUCCACCUGAAGCUACUGUUAGAGCACUGGUUCUGUGAGCCUGAUCUCAUCACAUCACCGCAUUCUAUAGGCUACGUGAGGGCCCAUUCUCGAUCUAAUCCCCUCCCUUUCCUGUAAUCUGCGGCCUCUAUCACUCAAGUGGCAGGGCAUGCUGCCCCCAAUGGGCCGUGCUUAUUUGGACUUAUUUUUCAAAUUGUGCAUAUUUAAGCAGUCAACAGAUCAUUGAACUAGGCAGAGCACAACUCUCAGGGUUCAUAUCUUGAUGGAUCGGAUCAAAGGCUGCAAAUCUAUAAAACAUUCAUUCCUCAGCUGCAGGACUAAUAUGCUGCUUGUGAACCACACUCUCCUCUCACCUAAGCCUGUACUUGCCAGCAAAGAGUUUCCAUGCAUCUAGAUCCCAAAAAUGUGCCCUUCAAGGAAGGCUGCAGCUGAUGGACGGGAAGUCAGUGCCCCUGGCCCGGCCCUGCUGCUCUCCGGGAGAGCGUGUCAGGUCCUUGGUGAGGCCCAGGCAGUGCUAGGCAAGCCCUGGGUGGGCGUCUGUUUUCCCUCCUUUCAGCUUGCUCUUCCCUCUCCCACGCCGUCCUUUCUGCAAACUGCCACCCCUUCACCCGGUUCCUUGUCGGUCUCCUUCCUUCCACCUCCUCAGCCCUGAGAAGCUCUCCAUUUCUUCUACUUCCAGUCUUUUGUAUUUGAAUCUGUCCUGGGGAACUACUAAACAAAGCCUUCCAACCAGACUGCAGCCAGCUUCAGGAUCCAUUCUAAAGAACAGCUUACAGUUCUGAAACGCACGUAUUUGAUGAUUUAAAGUAAAUUUCGUCUAUGAGCUGACUUCAUGGGCCUGGAAAGCAUGGAAACCAGGCGGGCUGGGCAUAGGACUGAAGAAACCAACUGACAUUAAAUCUCUCUCUCUUUCUGAGAUUUCCCAUCCUCCCUUCCAGUUCUGCUUUUCCUUCUUUUUAUGACACAGACUGAGAUUUACUUAAUCUUUUCAUCUUUAUCCAUCUUAAAACAUAUCUGAUGGGAUCUGUUGUUCAGUGUUUAGAUUAUAGGUUGUUUGCCUCUUAAAAUUGGAAACUGCAAACAAAUGGAUAGCCAGCUCAGACCAAUCCACCUUCUAGCAACAGCCAUGGCCAAGAGAAGCUGUUAGACUGUGAUUGGUCUCUUCCAGGAGUGGAAAGAACAAACAAAAUCAGCAGAAUUAUUACCGUCACUAUGAAUGCAAUUUUGCAUCAAACACCUUGUUGGCAAAAUUCCUGGGGAUGGAACCCAGGCAAAUGCUGUCCCUGAGCUAUCCACAACCUGACCCCUUUGACGAUGAUGAUGAUGAU
rnacentral:lncRNA from 1 species